rnacentral:rRNA from 1 species
UAAUACAGAGGGGGCAAGCGUUGUUCGGAAUUACUGGGCGUAAAGGGCGCGUAGGCGGCCUUCUAAGUCGAACGUGAAAUCCCUAGGCUCAACCUAGGAACUGCGUCCGAUACUGGGAGGCUUGAAUCCGGGAGAGGGAUGCGGAAUUCCAGGUGUAGCGGUGAAAUGCGUAGAUAUCUGGAGGAACACCGGUGGCGAAGGCGGCAUCCUGGACCGGUAUUGACGCUGAGGCGCGAAAGCCAGGGGAGCAAACGGG